UCUUUCUUUCUUUCUUUCUUUCUUUCUUUCUUUCUUUCUUUCUUUCUUUCUUUUUUCUUUUCUUCCUGGUUGUGGUUUCUUUCUAGAAACUCACAGUCCUUCUGAUAUGUGUUAUAAUCUGUCAAUUCUGUUCACAGACAUUUUGUUUCGGUUUCUUGUUUCAUUGCCCACAUCGGGCCUCGGUAAACACCUUCUCACCUAGUGUCCUCCUCACCUAGUGUCCUCGGCCUGGAAGAGCAGAAGGUUGUCCCUCCAGGAGAUGUCUGUCAGUCUUAGCAAUCUCUCUGCAUAGAUUUGUGAAAGGGAUAAGUAGCAACAAUUUAAGUUUCUUGAAACCAUUUUAUUUGAUCAAAGUGGGCCCCAGACCUUAUAGAACAGACAAAAAUGAUUCGGGGACCUUCCUGAGAAAACACACAUCCCCAAGUCCCACUAUUGAGGUUCUUAGCUAGUGCUAACACAGUUGGAGGCCAGAAAACUGCCUGAAGUUCUCAGGAGGUUUUAGAGCAGCAUAUGUUGCUGGAUCAUAGUCAGGUGCAUAACCCACCGCUGUCUUGUUCCCUUCCUGCUCCAGAGCACGAAAUACAGGCAAGGGUGUAAAGCCCUGAACUUCCCAUCCUUCAUGGCUGUGUGUGUUGACACACAUAACUCCUCCAUCCAAUCAGCAGAAUCAUGAUUUUCCUCUGUUCUCUAAAAAACAUGUAAGUGGAAACAAUCUAACGACGAUAAAAGGUGCCAUGAAAGAGGAUAAUAAUAAAAUGUCUCCAGUAUUGAGGCAUUUAAUACAGCCAUGAUUAAUCACAGCGUGACAUUAAGCACCUCCACUGUCACCAGCUCCCCAGCCCUCUGCUUAGGACUGGGGAGGUAGUCACUCAGUUUGGUUCCUUACCCAGAGCUCCUUCCUUCACAAUGGUCUACCUUGGGCUAAGUCAAACUACAUUACGGUCUACGUGAAUCAGUUCUCUUGAUGUACAUAAAUGCUCCUACUCAGAAACCUGAAAGGAGACCCACCCAGAUUCAGAGAAUAGUGUGACUCACGCGUAUGGAUGUGCCCACAGUUGCACACACCCAAAUAAGCACACAGACUCUAACAUCGCUGCUGCUGUAUUUUAAACAUGGUUUGUCUCUUCUAAGAGUCAUAUGUUAAUUUGGGUUCCAUUUUGGUGGUGUUGUGAGCUGGGGCCUUUAAGUGUGGCUAUGUCAUUAUGGAGGAAUAAAGCCUUUCUCCAGGGAGUGGGUCCUUUCUCACAAGAGCACGUCGCUGUUUGUCCAUCAGGCUUGAAGACAACAGACAGACAGAGCCAACCAAUCUUAGACUCCAAAAUAAACCUUUCGCCUUUAUAAAUUAAAGUGUCUCGUGUGUUCUCUUACAGCAUUAGAAAAUGAACUAAGACAGAUGUCUACAGGCAUAUGAGCAAAGGGGUAUAAGCAUGUAUUUUUGUACUUAUAGAUUAAUAUUCAAGCAUAUGUCAGACAAAAACAGUCUUAAACACUCUCCCCUAGACACACACACAGUCAUAGGUAAGUAUAUGUAGGUUCAUGUGCUUGACCCUCUUCCCCUAUAAAUGUAUAUAUACCCUUGAUUCAUUAUGUAUCUAUUGAUGUCUUAUUUAUGUGCCAGAAAAAUCUUAGGUGUUGAAAACUGGGGAGUUAACAACAACAAAAGUUUAUUUUGUGCUGUUUGUACAUAACAAAAAAUGUAAUUUUUUAAAAUGCAUACCCACUUCCCAAUGCAUCUCUCUCCUCUCUCUCCCCCACCUCCCCUCUCUCACACACACGCACACAUAUACACACACAUAUACACAGAGAGAGAGAAGAGAAUAUAUAGGAAUUAUGGGAUGGGAACUAUGACAGGUACUAUGAAGGUAAUAUCGAGUGUUUAGAGAAUUUGACUAAUUCAGGGUAGCCUGUAAAAUUACCCUCAAAGAAAUGAAGUUUCAGCAGAUGCGCAAGAGAUAAAUAGACAAUACCUAGAAGGGGGAGGGGAGAGAAAAGCAUGUGCCGGUGUCUGAUGUUAAGAGGAAGUCUCUUGCAUCAGAAAAAUCAAGUUCGUGUAAGUAAGUGCAACUGGCAGACAAGGAAGAGACUGCAGACUAUCCCUGCAACUGCAGGCAAAGGAGUCACCCCACAGAGUCCUGGGCUGCAUUAGGAUCUCUGUCUUUAUCCCCAGAGCAUGUCUACACCAAUGAUGCGUUUGCUACAGAGGUCAGGUCUAUAUUUUGAGAGCUAUCACUAAAGAUAUGUCUAAAGGGAUUUUCAUGCACAUCGCUGCACACAAAUGACUUAUAUACACAUGUAAUGCAUAUUUGUAUAUAUUUAUUCAACUGUCUGUCAGAUAUUUUAUAGACACAUAUCAUAUGUAAGUUCAGAGAAAGAAAGAAGCAUGGAGGGCAAUGAGGGGUGAGGAGUGUUCUCUUUAUGGGGUCUAAAACAGUCCUUGGAGCCAAAACUGGGAAAGUGGUGGAUUGGAAAGGAGCCUUCUGCCUUUGCUGCCUCCUCUGGAUUUGGCUGACUGGCACAGCGCAUGUGCCUCCAGCACUGUUCCUCCUCCUCUUGGCUCAGAGCGUCCAGUGACAAGGUGGGGUUCCUUCCAGAACAUGAUCAUUGACUAUUCUUGGCCUGGGCAAGGAGGGGAGGAUGGGUAGGUCAGGUCGCAUAAAGAUUGCCUUGUGCCUUUCUCGGAGUUGUAAGUAGGGCCUCUGGCAGCCACGAGCCGAUGUACUCUUAGCACACAGUGGGCAGCCCUAAGCCAUAAACAGAAGGAACAACAGGGGAAUCAGAGGACUUGACCGGCUGGCACAGCAGUAGGAAUAGCUACGACGCUCUGUGAUAUGUGACAUCAGUGAUGUCUGUGUCCUCGAUUGCCUUGCCAUAGUAACUCAUCCAGAAACAUAGAUUUACACAGAGAGAACUUUCCUCCGAUGGGGGUAGCGUCUCACAGUGGAGGAAGUAGUAGGGUAUUUUAUCAGCCAGAACACCCGCAUUACGUUUCCUUCAGUGCACUGGAACUAUGCUUUUGUACACUGGGCUCCUAUUUAACAGCAAAGCCAGGGAGAGCCUUGGGCAGAGCUAGGGGCAGGCUCCAGGAUGAUCAUUGAAAGAUUUGGUAGGACUUAAAUUUACCUAGAACCUGUGUCUCCAUAAAGAUAUCCCUGGAGGAUUUGUUGAUGUCACAAGGACUCCUACCCACUGAUACUUUGUUUUCCAAAAGUGGUCUUAGAAAAUGUUUUCUUCCUUAAUUAAGAAGAAUUCCAGAAUAUUUUCCUUUUGCUUCAGGCUGUGCAGGAAACAUGUUUCUUUCUCCUCGGUUUUUUGGGCACGCUUUUUCGGGAUCCUGGUGGCAACCUGCCCCAUCCAUCUGCUGAAGAUGGCAGUUUUCAAGUGGACACUGGGUAGUGUUGAUCCUCCAAGCUGACCCGGUGCUCCACAAUGUUCAAAGGACUUUCAAAUGGGUCAUUGUGUCUAACCCUCAGCCUAGCCCUAAGAGUCGUGUGGGCUCUCCAUUUCACAGAUAGAAAGACUGAGGUUAAAAGACGAGCCUGUUCACAGGGCAGAGCUGACUUUCAAUUCCAAUCUUCAUGCUUAUCUUUCAAAAAUGCCAGUUCUGUGGUGUUUUCCCACUCUGGCACUCUCCCGAGGCCCAGGUCUCCUCCCUAGGGCUCUCAGCUUUCUGUUUUCUGCAUCUUAGUCAAGACGGAUAGCCCCCAGCAAUGAAGCCACAGAUGCCACUGUGGAGAUAAACAAGUGCCUGCCCCAGGGACUGUCCUCAGAAAGCUGUCACUGUUGAUAAGCCUUAAACUUGAUCAGCUCUCGCAAACAUGGCUCAGAGCAACAUCCCCUAAGCCUCUGCCUUCAUUGUGCAGCGCCAAGGCACUUGCUCCCCACUGUGGACUGAUGGAACCCCAGGUCCCUCUCCCCCUGCCUGCCCAGCCGGCAGCUCAGACUCCAGGUUCAGGACAUUUCUGUGGGAAGACCCAGCCGAUUUACCCCAAUCCCACACCCACUGGAGAUGAUCCAACCUGUUUUAAGGGCCAAGUUCCACACCUCAAUAAAAAAAAAAAAUGCAGACUCCGGGAAGUAGUUCAACGUCUUAAAAACAGCUUGUGUGUGGUUGAGAUGUUUUAUUUUAAUCAUAGCAAUUAAAUGUUCUUGUUUUGCACAACAGCCCCAACAGAAUCGCCUUUAGCACAGGACACCUAGUAACAUCAUGCAAACAAGCUGCUCUGCGCAGCACGCUUCGGAGAACGCCAAUAUAAAAACUGAAAGUUGUCUUCGUCCAUCCAGUGGGCUGCUGGGUAAGGAGGAAAUGGAACUCGGUUGCUAUAAACCAAAGGGCAGAUUCUCAAGGGAUGCAGACAUCCGGGAAGCAGGUGCUUGAUUCGACGUGACGUCUGGACCUUUGGAACAGUUGGAACCGUAUAAUAGGUAGUGAGUAAGUUUCUGGGGACUUCUUAUGUCAGAGAUGGGAUGCUGCCGAGGACACUAGAGGAUGUCCUCGCUCUGUGUAGAAAGUUCUGUGACUGUUGUGACAUUCACAUGCAGUGUAAAGGGGCCUCCACGAGCAACUUCCUUUACAAAGAGACUCCAUGUCUAUAUGUUUCUGAGGCCUCUGUCCUUCCCUCCUGUGCCUACUCUUUAUAGAUUCCCUAACAACUGUACAGCAAACCCUUUUCUUCCUCGGGGCAUCAGUCUGCCAACAGCAAUGACCCAUGCUCUCAUCUAGGCCUUUUUAUAGUCUAGGCAUCCUGGAUCACUCCCUGGCCCUCUGGGAUGUUACCUAGAGCUUGAGACCUCCACUUGGCAGAGAAGAAAGAGGGCAGAAGUAUCUGGAUUGUGAGACUGAUCUUUGUGGUGAUUGAGAGUACCCCUACUAUCCAGGAUCUAAGACACAGGGCAUGACGUACCCCAACAUGGUUCAAAUCGCACCUCCGCCUCUCCUGGACUCUGUGACCUAGAGAAAGCUUAUAAACUUGAGUGAGCUUCUGUUCCCCUUGUGAAAAAUAAAAGACUGGAAUGGCAAUACCUACAUCUCCCUUCAAGGUGGAAAACGUCUGGGCUUGGGGACAGGCUGCUCAGACCCUGGACUCAAGUCUGCAACCACAGUCACAGUCUCUAAUCCUCCUUGGCGGUGAAGCAAAGAGUUGCUGACAGCGUCCUUGAGCUGAGCCUUUGGAGCCACAGAUCUCCCAGGAACGCUACCUAUUCACACCACUUAGCGAAGGGAAGACUCGCGAGCCAAAACCACUUCGUGUGUGCACCAGCGAGUGCUCCAGUGUGUGCACCAGCGUGUGCUCUAGCAUGUGCUUCAGUAUACUCACCUGCGUGUGCUCCAGUGUAUGUACCAACGUGUGUUCCAGCGUGUGCACCAGUGUGUGCACCAGCAUGUGCUCCAAUAUGUGCACCAGCAUGUGCAACAGUGUGUGCUCCAGUGUGUGUACCUGCAUGUGCUCCAGUGUGUGCAAGAGUGUGCACCAGCGUGUGCUCCAGCGUGUGCUCCAGCAUGUGCACCAGCGUGUGCACCUGUAUGUGCCCCAGUAUGUGCACCAGCAUGUGCUCCAGUGUGUGCAAGAAUGUGUGCGCCAGCAUGUGCACCUGCGUGUGCUCCGGCGUGUGCACAGGUGCUCUGAGGUCACUUUGACUGGCGCCUGCUUUUGGGGUCUUGCUCCUAUAGUAAAGACUCCAACCCCAGGAUUGUCUGGGAGGAAACAUGCUGGUAACUGUCUCAGAGUGGGACAAAACAGUCCAUCCCAGACCUGGGUCUGCUAGCAGUGGCUUGUCUGCCGUCUGCUGGGUGCGACUCUCACCCUACCCCCAUCUUCAUCCUCCCCAUUCUUCACUUGAGGAUCUCUGAGCUCUGUGUCUCUUGGGAAAGUGUCUCUGAUCUAUUUUUGCCUGAGUUUGUGCGCUCUCUACACGGAUUAUCAUCUGGCCGACUCCAGUUUUGAUUAGCUCUUUUGUUUGAUCUGUCCUGUUUCACGGUGUGAGCUUUAUGGUCCAUUGCAGCCCUUCUUGGAUUACGGAGGUUGGCUAAGGUAUCAGAGCAUUUGUCACAAUUUCUGAGAGGAUGCUUGUCCCCUCGUCCCCAGCCUACCCUGCUCCUGGUGCUCCUUGCCACUUUGGCACAAGCAGACGCCUUCCCCCUCUCGACAUGACUCUGUAAGUGGAGUCUGGUUUUCACAUUAGCCAAGAAGAGGCCCUGAAGUCAGAAAUCCUUGGCCUGUGAGUCACGCUGUUGCUUUGUGCCUCAUUUCCCCCAACUAUAAAUAGGCCAAGUCCCACACUUUCUCAUCCCCCAGUACUCAAGGGACCGGUACAGGUGCUUUUGUACAAACUUAGAGCUCCUUCCUAGUGGCCAUUUCUGGUCUUUCCCAGGUGGGCUCUCUCUCGAAGAUCAUGGCUCUCUGGGGUCUCUCAAAGUCAUCAUUUCUGUCUCCCUACUUUCUUUCCUGACAGCUGCCUCUUCCGUUGUAUGCAUGUGAAGUUUCUGGAAUGCAGAAGCCAGGUUUUGCAGAAAGAGCUCUCUCUGUCUCCCUGUUGUCUUCAGAGUGGAGGCCUCAGCGGGUGAAGUCACAAGGAAAUCUCACCCUGAGAACAAGCUGUAUAUUCAGGCAUGCCCCAGCACGGAUACCUUGACCUCUCAGACCCUAAGGUGCAGGGUGGUGUGAUGGAAAGGAAAGGGGAGGAAAGGUUGCUUGGUGUCUGAGGAGUUUCCAUGCUUUUAAAAGAGGCAGACAAGGGCACAAAGCGAGAGUUCUCGGUUUUUAAUACUAAAGAUUCCGUAGACAAUCACUACCUUUCAUCAUCUGCCAAUUUUACAGAUGCAGAAACACACACAUCACUGAACUUGUAGACUGGGGGAAAAUGAUUUUACUAACGGGUUCCUUGUUCCCAUUCUACCUCCAACACUGAAACGUCUCCCAGUCUGUAAUCCAGAUGCAGAUGCUUCCUGUGGUCCCACUACACGCAUACAGAAGCCCAGGUCUUGGAGGCCUGGCACAGUUGGUGCCCACAGUCUAGGCUAUUACUCCCUGCACACAAGGCUCCCACUUCUUUGGAUGUCUCUUGACUCUCUGAAGACCGGGUCUUAAGGAAGCUUUGCUGCUACCUUGGAUGGAACAUCUCUCUCCCUGUUCUCUGGGCUUCUUGUCUCAGCUCAAAGGCUCUAUACAUGGAAGAUGGAGGCAUGGUCUGUCUGUCCUCAGUCACUGGGCAUCUUCUCAUACGUGCCACUCACUGCAUUGGAGAGCUUGGCUCAUUGUUCUUGAUUUGACCUCCAGUGUCUAGAACACAGUUGACUCAUCCUUAAUGUGUUAAGAACUCUCUGCUGAAUGACGGGGUCAGCGAAUGCAGACUGAGGGAAAUCUGACAGUACAAGGUCAUAUGAAGAAACAAAGAAAACAACCAUCAUACUUCUGAAUACUCUUUUUGAAUAGCGUUUCUGUUAACAUUAGGACUAUUGCCUUUUUCUUCCAGAUCAUCUCUCUCUCUCUUUCUCUCGCUCUCUCCCACUCCCUCUCUCCAUAUAAAUAUAGUGUAUGUGUGUGUGCAUCUGUGUGUGUAUGUAUAUAAACACAUAUACAUAAACUAUAUCUUGGGCAUAAUAUAUUGAUAGGUGAUAUACAGUAUAUGCUCAAUAAAAUUGAGAUUAUGCUAAA